CGACUACGUCGAGGACGGCACGCGCAUCCGCGCGCUCGCGUCGCCCGAGCAGGCCGCGCAGCUCCGGCAGUUCCAGGCGGCCGCGGUCGC
rnacentral:tRNA from 1 species